AGACGGAGGGUGCAAGCGUUGCUCGGAAUUACUGGGCGUAAAGGGUGCGUAGGCGGUCUGUUUAGUCAGGCGUGAAAGCCCUGGGCUCAACCCAGGAACUGCGUUUGAAACUGGCGGACUAGAGUUCGGGAGAGGAGAGUGGAAUUCCCAGUGUAGAGGUGAAAUUCGUAGAUAUUGGGAAGAACACCAGUGGCGAAGGCGGCUCUCUGGACCGAUACUGACGCUGAGGUGCGAAAGCGUGGGGAGCAAACAGGAUUAGAAACCCCGGUAGUCC
rnacentral:rRNA from 1 species